GGACGCAAGUCUGAUGGAGCAACGCCGCGUGAGUGAAGAAGGGUUUCGGCUCGUAAAGCUCUGUUGGUAGUGAAGAAAGAUAGAGGUAGUAACUGGCCUUUAUUUGACGGUAAUUACUUAGAAAGUCACGGCUAACUACGUGCCAGCAGCCGCGGUAGUACGUAGGUGGCAAGCGUUGUCCGGAUUUAUUGGGCGUAAAGCGAGUGCAGGCGGUUCAAUAAGUCUGAUGUGAAAGCCUUCGGCUCAACCGGAGAAUUGCAUCAGAAACUGUUGAACUUGAGUGCAGAAGAGGAGAGUGGAACUCCAUGUGUAGCGGUGGAAUGCGUAGAUAUAUGGAAGAACACCAGUGGCGAAGGCGGCUCUCUGGUCUGCAACUGACGCUGAGGCUCGAAAGCAUGGGUAGCGAACAGGAUUAGAUACCCUGGUAGUCCAUGCCGUAAACGAUGAGUGCUAAGUGUUGGGAGGUUUCCGCCUCUCAGUGCUGCAGCUAACGCAUUAAGCACUCCGCCUGGGGAGUACGACCGCAAGGUUGAAACUCAAAGGAAUUGACGGGGGCCCGCACAAGCGGUGGAGCAUGUGGUUUAAUUCGAAGCAACGCGAAGAACCUUACCAGGUCUGGACAUUCAGUGCAAACCUAAGAGAUUAGGUGUUCCCUUCGG
rnacentral:rRNA from 1 species